UGUAAUACCUUAAAAUUGGAGAUUUUUAUGUACGGUAACCUCAAAAUUUCUUCUCUACAGGCUGUUCAGAAUGGAUUUUGGGUUGUAUUUGAGGAUGUUGACAAAGCACCAUCUGAUGUGCAAUCCAUCAUACUACCUUUGCUGGAAGGUGCAAAAUCAUUUUCAAAUGGGCAUAGGGAGGAAAUAAUGGUGGCAGAAAGUUUUUGACUAUUUUCCACAAUUUCAACUUUUAGAUUUGAUAUAUCACACAGUUCAGAAGGGCACGGGUAUAUAUAUAUAUAUAUAUAUAUAUUGAUAAGCAGGGUUGGGAUCAAUGUAGUCUUCUCUUGGUUAUGGAACAGGAAUACUAAUGGCUGUUUGAUUGGCAUGGUGGGAAUGGGUUUGAAGAAAUUCACCUAACCCUGCCUGUUGCCUUCCAAUGUGGAAAACUUGGUGUUUUUUGGAGGAAAAGUGAUGAUUGUGCCUCCAAGUAAGGAAGACUUGCAAAAUAUAAUAAAAGCCUGGUAUCCAAAUUUAGAGCCAAUUUCUGAGAAACUCAUAGGAACCUUUGAAAGGGUUAACUCUUCUCCUGUACAUCAACUAGCGGGAUUCCACCCCAGAAAUUCUGCUGUUAGUUUUCUCAGCAGAUUCUCAUUAAGGGAUCUUCUUAAAUGGUGCAAGCGAAUCUUAGGUUUAAUUAGGCUUUAGCUUCAAUGGAGAUGGUUUGUCAGCUUAUGAGUGUAAUUACUGAGAUAUGGGUUCCCCCUGUUGGUGACCUAAAUGAGCUUAAGAGUAUUGCUCUGCAGAGAUUUUCCAACCCAAACCAAUCGCACAUUGUAGAUGCUAUGCUAAGUUUUUGGGAAGUACAU